ACGGUCAUAUCAAAUUGAAACACCAGUUCUCAUCCGAUCACCAAAGUGAAGCUCCGUCGAGCUUGGUCUUUACCUAGAUGGGUGACCUCUUAGGAAUAUCAAGUACUGUAA